GAGUUUUGGACCUGGCUCAGAUUGAACGCUGGCGGCAUGCCUUACACAUGCAAGUCGAACGGUAACAGGUUAAGCUGACGAGUGGCGAACGGGUGAGUAAUGUAUCGGAACGUGCCCAGUCGUGGGGGAUAACUGCUCGAAAGAGCAGCUAAUACCGCAUACGACCUGAGAGUGAAAGCGGGGGAUCGCAAGACCUCGCGCGAUUGGAGCGGCCGAUAUCAGAUUAGGUAGUUGGUGAGGUAAAGGCUCACCAAGCCGACGAUCUGUAGCUGGUCUGAGAGGACGACCAGCCACACUGGGACUGAGACACGGCCCAGACUCCUACGGGAGGCAGCAGUGGGGAAUUUUGGACAAUGGGCGCAAGCCUGAUCCAGCCAUGCCGCGUGCGGGAAGAAGGCCUUCGGGUUGUAAACCGCUUUUGUCAGGGAAGAAAAGGUUCUGGCUAAUACCUGGGACUCAUGACGGUACCUGAAGAAUAAGCACCGGCUAACUAC
rnacentral:rRNA from 1 species